rnacentral:rRNA from 1 species
UACGGGGGGGGCAAGCGUUGUUCGGAAUUACUGGGCGUAAAGGGCUCGUAGGCGGCCAACUAAGUCGGAUGUGAAAUCCCCAGGCUCAACCUGGGAACUGCAUCCGAUACUGGAUGGCUUGAAUUCGGGAGAGGGAUGCAGAAUUCCAGGUGUAGCGGUGAAAUGCGUAGAUAUCUGGAGGAACACCGGUGGCGAAGGCGGCAUCCUGGACCGGCAUUGACGCUGAGGAGCGAAAGCCAGGGGAGCAAACGGG